AUGUUGUUCUUCACACCAUUGCACUCGGAUCUCCAGGUCAUCUCUAGUAUUCUACAUAUAUUUGGUGAGGCCAUGGGCCUGAAGAUCAAUUUACAGAAGAGUACAGUCACAACCAUUCGAUGCGACGAGGCCACGGCAGCGGCAGUGGAGGGACACUUCCAAUGCAGGAGACAACAGUUCCCCAUCCUUUACCUGGGUCUCCCUCUGUCCAUUUCCAGGUUGCAGCGGCAGGAUCUUCUUCCUCUCAUAGACAAAUUCUCAGGAAAACUGAAAAGUUGGAAACCAAGGAUGCUUGCUACUGUGGGCCGUCUGACUCUCACCCGAUCGGUGCUCAUGGCCCUGCCGAUCCACCUUAUGUCCAUCUUACCUUUGCCGGCGUGGGCCAUCAAGAUUAUAAACAGAUGA
rnacentral:rRNA from 1 species